GGAUGAAGAGGGACAGCUGCCAACCCCCCCAUUGUGAACACCGUUACCUAGGUACAAGUACAUUUUUUUCUUUCCUUAAAGGAAACUUACAUUAGGUUUAUAGUUUAGAACAGGCAUUCUCAAUCUUGUUCCAGCUCCCCUGCAUCUUUGUCUGACUGAACUCAUCAGUAGCCCUCUUGAUUAGGUAAAUACACCUGAUUUAGCUAAUUAAGAGCAUUUUAAUUAUACUCAUUUCAAUCAGGUGUUCUUGGAACACGGAAAGAAUGUUUUUGAAAGAGUUUUCAGUCCACUCGAGGCUGCAGGAGCCUUAUUCAAAACCCCUGGUUUAGAACAUUUGAAAAAAAAGAAAAAUCAUCUGUUUUAAACUGUGUGUACAGAAUGCGUGUGUGUACGCUGAAAACAUUUAGUCGCAGUGUUGUAUUUCAGGAGGUUUAUGGCUUCAGGCCAAAUUAGUUAUGGCCAAAAUGUAGUGUCACACUUAGCUGUGACACACAUGCUUGCGUUCCACUCUCUGCUGCUGUCCACGUCUCUGCUCCUCUACAGGGUUCUGAAGGAUGGCCACACCGGCGCCCGGCGUCCUCACCUGACCCCCGACGUACCCCCAUCCACGUGGCAGAAUCACCAAAGCGUGCUGUCAUUUCGAAAAUGGAGGUGUUGAUUCCAUUCCCGAACACUCCGGAGGAAUUCUUCUGCAAUGGGAGAAACUGCACGGUGCUUCAGGAAGACUGUCAACCAAAUACUGAUGAACAAGCACUGAGACAUGCUGCACAUAAUGCUUG